GGGGAUGACAUGGCUUCGACGGUGACUGGAAAUUUAACGUGCAUGCCGAGGUGCGGAUGGCCCUCGUAAAACUCUUCCGCAACCAAGCUAGUUGCGAACGACUCCAACUACGCCCUCGCCGCCUAAAUCCGGCGAGCGUCUGACCAGACGGUGUUGAUGCCCCUGAAUCAGAUGUCGACUCUCAUCAACUCGCAUUGAAGCCCGCCCUUGGCCGAUUUGCUAAAACCUUAAGGGGAUAAGCGACGGCGUUCCGUGCCCAUCCGGGAACCGAAGUCGAAAAUUAAAGAUUGGGCUACGCAUGUAGAUCGAAGAACGGAAGGUUGUCGGACGCGGGUUCGAUUCCCGCCAUCUCCACCA
rnacentral:tmRNA from 1 species